ACCAAAAUAGCUCAUAUAUGGUCAGAGUUAUGAUUUGAAGAAUCAUAGGUUAUCAGUUCGAUUCUGAUUUUUGGUA
rnacentral:tRNA from 1 species